AGGCUUUCGGGACGGCGGCGGGAAGAUGGCGGCCUCCAGGGAUGGGUUUGAAGCUGUGGAGGUAGAGGGCAGCGCAGGGUGCCGGGGAAGCUCGGGAAUGGAGGUGGUGUUUCCUUUGGAUCCUGCCGUCCCCGCCCCGCUGUGCCCUCACGGACCCACUCUUCUGUUUGUAAAGGUGACCCAAGGGAAAGAAGAAACUCGGAGGUUUUAUGCCUGUUCAGCCUGUAGAGAUAGAAAAGACUGUAAUUUUUUUCAGUGGGAAGAUGAAAAGUUGUCAGGAGCUAGACUUGCUGCCCGAGAAGCUCAUAACCGAAGAUGUCAGCCUCCCCUGUCCCGAAGGCAGUGUGUGGAAAGGUACUUGAAGUUUAUUGAGUUGCCCUUGACUCAGAGAAAGUUUUGUCAAAGAUGUCAGCAGUUGCUGUUACCAGAUGACUGGGGGCAACAUAGUGAGCAUCAGGUUCUGGGUGAUGUGUCCAUCACCCAGUUAAGAAGGCCCAGUCAACUCCUUUAUCCACUGGAAAACAAGAAGACAAAUGCCCAGUAUCUGUUUGCUGAUCGGAGCUGUCAGUUCUUGGUAGACUUACUUUCUGCCCUCGGAUUCAGAAGAGUACUGUGUGUUGGAACACCAAGGUUGCAUGAGCUGAUCAAGUUGACAGCAUCAGGUGACAAGAAGUCUAACAUUAAAAGCCUUUUAUUGGAUAUUGAUUUUCGGUAUUCACAGUUUUAUAUGGAAGAUAGCUUUUGCCAUUAUAAUAUGUUUAACCAUCAUUUCUUUGAUGGAAAGACUGCCCUUGAAGUAUGCAGAGCAUUUUUACAGGAAGAUAAAGGCGAAGGAAUCAUUAUGGUGACAGAUCCUCCGUUUGGUGGCUUGGUUGAACCUCUGGCUAUUACAUUCAAGAAGUUAAUUGCUAUGUGGAAAGAAGGUCAAAGCCAAGAUGACAGUCACAAAGAACUACCCAUUUUCUGGAUUUUCCCCUAUUUUUUUGAAUCCCGAAUUUGUCAGUUUUUUCCAAGCUUCCAGAUGCUGGAUUACCAGGGGGUAUAGAAAAGUAAAUCACCUUUCUGGUUGGUGAAAUGCCAUGCACACUUUACUGCGUCACUCUUGGGAUGUCAGGAGUGUCAGAGAAGGCAGAGAUGGCUCUGUGUGAAUGUGUUGAUUCCAGGAGGAAGUUACUGGAGUGAGUAACUUCACAGUGAUGACUAUGGAAUUUUCCCCAUGCCUGAAAUGAGAAUGAGGCUGCUGUCCACAGCAGCUCCACCUGGUCUUUUAAGUUCAUUCUGCUUUAAACUCCACUUUCCUGUAUUUUUUUCCCUUGUGUUUGAAGUUAACCCUGUUGUUGCCAUCACCGUGUAUGGUCUUUGGGCAGGUACUGCUUCUUUUUUUUUUUUUUUUUUUUGAGACAAAGUCUCACUCUGUCACCCAGUCUGGAGUGCAGUGGUGCAAUCUCGGCUCACUGCAACCUCUGCUUCCCAGGUUCAAGUGAUUCUUCUGCCUUAGCCUCCUGAGUAGCU
rnacentral:sRNA from 1 species